rnacentral:lncRNA from 1 species
AGUGCCCCAGCGGGGUCUCGCGCUCACUCCACCGCUGCUCUGACUCUCGCCCACUGGCCCCGCGCUCGUGGGGGGCGUGGGGGGAGCAGCGCCCCUCCCAGGCUGGGAGGGGCGUCACGAGGGCCCUUCAGACCCCCAGCGCCGGUUCGGCCCGCCCUCCCCGCAGCCGCGGCCCCGUGGUGUCUGCAGAGCCAAGGCCCGUGGGGGCCCCCGCUCCCCGGAGCUGCCCCACGGGCCUGGAGGGGCACAAGCAAAGCGCGCUGCGUUUGCAAACCCAACUGACCUGGAUUCUAGUCCUUCCCCCUCCCCCUUCUGGCCGGGUGACCUUGGGCUGGUCCCUGGCUUCGUUUGACCCUCGGAUGAUGGAUCCCUAAGAUAAGGGAUGACCCGAUGCCCGAGGACCCUUCGGCCAUCCAUAUCCUUUGAUCCCAGGUCGUUGACCGGAGCCCUCUUCGGUGCGGGAGAAUCACGGAGAAGAGCGUUUUCUGCCGUAGCUGCGGACCCUCCUGCUCCGAGAAGUCGGGGCCGUCCGGGCCGUCCGGGAGGCAGCGACCUAGCGCAUCCACCCCCAUGCUGGAAGAAGAAGUAAAAACAUGAGAAUUUCUAAUCUGGUGAGACUGAGAGCUGCAGCGCUGGCCUUCUUCAUGAUUGCUUUCUCUUCCAGCUCUGUAUUCUCAGGACUCUGUCCAUUCUGAAGAAGGGAAACUAGGAGAUGAGGGUAUUACUGGCGUGCUCUUGUCAGCCAGGUCCCAGGUAUGUUGGAAUACGUUUUCUCAUUUUCGACAGAGUUCCUUCUCUGAUCCUAGAGAUUCUCUUGCCUAGCAAAGUUUCACUUAGUUACCUGAGCUUGAAGCCCUCUUUCCUUCUUGCAGAUUGAGCCAAUCCUGAUAGGCAGUGAAUUCCAUAGGGAAUAUUCCCAUUGGCCCAGCAUUCCUCUUAUUUGCAUAUAACCUUCUUAUUCUUCACAUAUUUAUUCAGACUGAAUUUAUUCAGACUAUGUUUAGGUAACUUCUGUGAGGAAUAUAAGAUGUAUAACAUAAUUUUUACCUCAAGCUUAAGUAGAGGAAUCAAGACAUACAUGAAUGAAGCAUUUAAUUGGUGUGAUGGC